GUAAACGCGCACACAUAUCAAAAAAAGAGAGAAAUUUAAUUUCAAUUCAAUUAGUUUCAAAAUCAAUUCAAAUCAGGAUUUUUAAAAAACCCACAUUCGAUUCAAAAUACUUAAAAAGCUCACCUUCGCGUUUUGCAGCAAAACCUCACUUUUGAUGUACAGCGAUACAGGAAAACAUUCCAAGCUUUCGUACAGGAGCAACUAUGGAGCAAAGUUUGAAACCAAGCCAUAGAAGGCGAUAUUAGAAUAACUUGAUCCAGCAGAUAGCUUUUAAGGUGUGCUGGCAUGGAGACAGAAGGGUAACAAGACUUGAGAGGAAAUUGCAGAACAUAAGUUCCAAGCAACUAAAGACACAUUUGCCAAUUGUGAAGCAAUGAAAAUCGGCAAUGCUCAAGUAGCCAGAACUGGAGGCGUUCAAUCACGUUGGAGUUUACUACGACUGCUACUUUCUUGCCAUCUGCAAAUUUUGACAGUGUAUCCUCUAUCAGAGUCUAUAUGUAUUGGUCACUGGUGAUAAAUAUCUAUUGACAGUU